rnacentral:rRNA from 1 species
GACGAACGCUGGCGGCGUGCUUAACACAUGCAAGUCGAACGGUGAACCCCUUCGGGGGGAGUCAGUGGCGAACGGGUGAGUAACACGUGAGCAACCUGCCCCUGACUCUGGGAUAACCCCGGGAAACCGGAGCUAAUACCGGAUAUGACACGCUCGGGCAUCCGAUGCGUGUGGAAAGAUUUAUCGGUUGGGGAUGGGCUCGCGGCCUAUCAGCUUGUUGGUGGGGUAACGCCUACCAAGGCGACGACGGGUAGCCGGCCUGAGAGGGCGACCGGCCACACUGGGACUGAGACACGGCCCAGACUCCUACGGGA